GAAGCCUCCGGCUCGGCCGGAGAGGCCGGGCCGGAGUUUUCGGUUUUCGGCGGGGGGAGCCGGAGGACGGCUGGCGGCGAGGGAGGAGAAAGAGGGAGCGGGAAAGAUCGCGGGAGAGCCCAAUCACGGGGCGAGCUGGACCGGGCUGUGAUCAUUUAUAAUCCUGGACUCCUCCGCUCCGCCACUUGUCAAGAUGACAGGCCGCGUCGGGUACGGGAAAGCUCCGAGGCUCCCAUGCUGUGACCAAUCAGUGCCUCUACUACUCUUGCCGUGAUUUAGGGGUCAUCCAUGAAUAACACUUCACGCUGAUGAAUGGCUCUUGCAGGCUUUCGGCUCUGAUGAGGGGUCUGCCCGCCGCUGAUUGCAAACACUAAUGAACUCCCAGCGCCAUUUGAAAUUCACACGCACCUACAAAGUGCGGGGGGUGGGCAUUUCAGGUCAGCUGAGUCACCCGAGGAGGUAGGAGUGCGAGACACUGCCGGGAAGAUGGAUGCCGAGGCAGAAGGGUGUAAUUAAGGAUUUCCAGUCCCGGUAGGCGGCCCGUCCUUUACAAGAGGAUCUGAAAAUGACCUGCGCCUUCCCCUCCAGAGUGUCCUCUCGUCCCAGACUGAAAAGCGCAAAUGACCUUCGCACGCGGGAAGGGGUGAUACACGAGCCCCAACUCGGCACCGGCGGCGGAGAACAAGUGUCCGCCCUGUGGUUCAAGCACCAAGACCGCCCCAACAAGCGCGCGCUGGCCGGUGGGGACGGAUUCUGGAGUCCUCCCAAGGCUCCACGCCCCGCAUUCUCCGACGCCGCCCCCCUCCCCAGCUCUCCCCUGCUUCCACUCUGUGUGAUGUGGGAGGAAAAUA